rnacentral:rRNA from 1 species
CCUACGGGAGGCAGCAGUGGGGAAUUUUGGACAAUGGGCGCAAGCCUGAUCCAGCCAUGCCGCGUGUGGGAAGAAGGCCUUCGGGUUGUAAACCACUUUUGUCAGGGAAGAAACGGCUUUUUCUAAUACAGAGAGCUAAUGACGGUACCUGAAGAAUAAGCACCGGCUAACUACGUGCCAGCAGCCGCGGUAAUACGUAGGGUGCAAGCGUUAAUCGGAAUUACUGGGCGUAAAGCGUGCGCAGGCGGCUUUGCAAGACAGAUGUGAAAUCCCCGGGCUCAACCUGGGAACUGCAUUUGUGACUGCAUGGCUAGAGUACGGUAGAGGGGGAUGGAAUUCCGCGUGUAGCAGUGAAAUGCGUAGAUAUGCGGAGGAACACCGAUGGCGAAGGCAAUCCCCUGGACCUGUACUGACGCUCAUGCACGAAAGCGUGGGGAGCAAACAGGAUUAGAUACCCUGGUAGUCCACGCCCUAAACGAUGUCAACUGGUUGUUGGACGGCUUGCUGUUCAGUAACGAAGCUAACGCGUGAAGUUGACCGCCUGGGGAGUACGGCCGCAAGGUUGAAACUUAAUGAAUUGACGG